rnacentral:rRNA from 1 species
AUGAGCAAAGGUCUCGCCGUCCUGCUACUCCUCGUCUCGCUUGCUCUGAGCUCCGGCGUCGGCUUCUGCGACGCGAGGAGCGGCAAGCACUGGAGGCAGAACAGAGGACCCUCCUCCAGCUCCAUGUUCAGAAGGAAAGGAAAAGGGAAGAACGGCGGCGGUUCCCCUUCCCACAGCCACAGGCAGUACGGCAAAGGGCGUCAGAGUCCUGCAAUGCCGGCGCCGCCAAGUCCAGGCGGUGGUCAUGGCUAUGCGUCGCCGUCUCCACCACCGCCAUCGCUGCCACCACAAGCACCCUCUGUGCCACGGUCGCCGCCACCACCUCUGCCCCCGUCGUUGCCGCCACAAGCACCGCCAUCGGACGAGCCGUCGCAGGGCACGGUGUUCAACGUGGUUGCUUUCGGAGCGCGGGGUGACGGAGUUACGGAUGAUACUCAGGCUUUUGAAGCAGCAUGGGCAGCAGCGUGCAAGGUGGAGGCAUCGACGGUUCUUGUACCACCUGAACUCGAGUUCGUUGUUGGCCCAAUCUCAUUUUCGGGGCCUAACUGCAAACCUAACAUUCUGUUCCAGCUGGAUGGAACCAUUUCGGCUAAAACUGGCGCGAGAGCGUGGGGCUCCGGUUUGCUUCAGUGGCUCGAGUUCACAAAACUAAAUGGGAUAUCAAUUCAAGGCAGUGGUGUCAUAAAUGGUCAGGGUAAAGAAUGGUGGACCUAUUCAGAUUCAAAUGAUGAUGAUGAUGAUAUGGACUCAUACACUGAUCAGGAGCUGGAGAAGAUGCCACAGAUUAAACCCACGGCGCUAAGGUUUUACGGCAGUUCCGAUGUCAGAGUAACUGGUAUCAGCAUCAUCAACAGCCCGCAGUGCCAUCUGAAGUUCGAUAGCUGUCAGGGAGUCAUGGUUCAUAACCUCACCAUCUCUUCCCCUGAGAAUAGCCCCAACACUGAUGGAAUACACCUGCAAAACUCCAAGGAUGUCAACAUUCACCACACUGACCUGGCCUGCGGUGAUGACUGCAUCUCCAUCCAGACAGGCUGCAGCGACGUAAACAUACAUAAUGUGAACUGCGGACCAGGCCAUGGGAUCAGCAUUGGUGGCCUAGGGAGGUACAACACCAAGGCAUGUGUCUCCAACAUCACUGUAAGAGAUGUCAACAUGUUCAAAACAAUGACCGGUGUCAGGAUCAAGACUUGGCAGGGUGGCUCAGGGCUGGUCCAGGGCAUAAGGUUCUCCAACAUACACAUGUCAGAGGUUCAGACGCCCAUCAUGAUCGACCAGUUCUACUGCGACAAAACAUCGUGCACGAACCAGACCUCGGCGGUGGCGGUCUCGGGCGUGCAGUACGAGAACAUCCGGGGGACUUUCACGAUCAAGCCCGCCCAUUUCGCGUGCAGCGACAGCUCGCCGUGUUCGGAGAUCACCCUGACCGGGAUACAACUGAGACCCCUGGUAGUGCCUCAGUACCACACAUGCAGCAGCCCCUUCUGCUGGCAGGCCUUCGGGGAGCUGUACACUCCCACCAUCCCUCCUAUUUCAUGCUUGCAGCUCGGCAAGCCGGCCGGGAACCGCGUGCUGUCGGACCACGAUCAGUGCUGA